rnacentral:rRNA from 1 species
AUUGAACGCUGGCGGCAUGCUUUACACAUGCAAGUCGAACGGUAACAGGCCGCAAGGUGCUGACGAGUGGCGAACGGGUGAGUAAUGCAUCGGAACGUGCCCAGUCGUGGGGGAUAACUACUCGAAGGAGUAGCUAAUACCGCAUACGAUCUAUGGAUGAAAGCGGGGGACCGUAAGGCCUCGCGCGAUUGGAGCGGCCGAUGUCAGAUUAGGUAGUUGGUGGGGUAAAGGCUCACCAAGCCAACGAUCUGUAGCUGGUCUGAGAGGACGACCAGCCACACUGGGACUGAGACACGGCCCAGACUCCUACGGGAGGCAGCAGUGGGGAAUUUUGGACAAUGGGCGCAAGCCUGAUCCAGCAAUGCCGCGUGCAGAAGAAGGCCUUCGGGUUGUAAACUGCUUUUGUACGGAACGAAACGGCUCUGGUUAAUACCCGGGGCUAAUGACGGUACCGUAAGAAUAAGCACCGGCUAACUACGUG